ACUGGCUCGCACCAAAGCCGUUCGAUCAUGCACUAUAGCCUCAGAUCCAGCUUGAUCAUGUCUGGAGUCAUCCUUAGCCAUCCUAUUACAAAUGGAUCACUCCAGAGCCAUUAGAUCACUCAAAAUCACCCAUGGAUCAUGCAUGGAUUGUGUGAUCGAUUUGCGCGGCCUCCAUGGACCACCCAGCACCCUACAUCCCAUGAUGGAC
rnacentral:lncRNA from 1 species